GACGAACGCUGGCGGCAUGCCUAAUACAUGCAAGUCGAGCGAACAGAUGAAGUGCUUGCACUUCUGACGUUAGCGGCGAAUGGGUGAGUAACACGUAAGGAAUCUACCUAUAAGCGGGGGAUAACAUUCGGAAACGGGUGCUAAUACCGCAUAAUAUCUUCUUCCGCAUGGAAGAAGAUUGAAAGACGGCUCUGCUGUCACUUAUAGAUGACCUUGCGGUGCAUUAGUUAGUUGGUGGGGUAAUGGCCUACCAAGACGAUGAUGCAUAGCCGAGCUGAGGGGGUGAUCGGCCACAUUGGAACUGAUGAACGGCCCAAACUCCUACGGGAGGCAGCAGUAGGGAAUCUUCCGCAAUGGGCGAAAGCCUGACGGAGCAAUGCCGCGUGAGUGAAGAAGGCCUUCGGUUCGUAAAACUCUGUUAUAAGAGAAGAACAAAUUGUAGAGUAACUGCUACAGUCUUGACGGUAUCUUAUCAGAAAGCCACGGCUAACUACGUGCCAGCCGCCGCAGUAA
rnacentral:rRNA from 1 species